rnacentral:rRNA from 1 species
UGGGGAAUAUUGGACAAUGGGGGCAACCCUGAUCCAGCGAUGCCGCGUGGGUGAAGAAGGCCUUCGGGUUGUAAAGCCCUUUAGGUCGGGACGAAGGUUGGUAGUUUAAGAGAUAGCCAACUUGACGGUACCGACAGAAUAAGCACCGGCAAACUCUGUGCCAGCAGCCGCGGUAAUACAGAGGGUGCGAGCGUUAAUCGGAGUUACUGGGCGUAAAGGGCGCGUAGGCGGUUAUGUGAGUGUGAUGUGAAAGCCCCGGGCUUAACCUGGGAAGUGCAUCGCAAACGACAUAACUGGAGUAUAUGAGAGGGUAGCGGAAUUUCCGGUGUAGCGGUGAAAUGCGUAGAUAUCGGAAGGAACGUCAAUGGCGAAGGCAGCUACCUGGCAUAAUACUGACGCUGAGGCGCGAAAGCGUGGGGAUCGAACAGGAUUAGAUACCCUGGUAGUCCACGCUGUAAACGAUGAAGACUAGAUGUUGCUGGGGGAACUCAGUAGUAUCGAAGCUAACACGAUAAGUCUUCCGCCUGGGAAGUACGGCCGCAAGGUUG